GCUGAACCCAGCCCUAAAGCAGCCAAACCAUAGUCAACCAGCAGUUGCUUGAGCAUGAGAUGUUGCAAGAUGAAGAUGGGGGCUCAGAGAUGAUCAGAGAUUUGCACACACUUGGGCAGCAGCUGAGUCAGGGCUCCAACACAAGCGUUCCAUCGCCUGACAAACCCACUCUCCCUCCUCUACCCUCACAGUGUUUACCUUGGAUCAGGACAACCACUAAGGUAUCAGCAGUUCCACUGCCAUGGCUGCUAAGAGCGUGGAACUGUGCUCAUCCAGAUGGGAACCCUUCAGAGGCAAACAGAGGAGUGGCCAAGAUCAU